rnacentral:rRNA from 1 species
GUGCCAGCAGCCGCGGUAAUACAGAGGGUGCGAGCGUUAAUCGGAAUUACUGGGCGUAAAGCGUGCGUAGACGGUUAUUUAAGUCGGAUGUGAAAGCCCCGGGCUCAACCUGGGAAUUGCAUUCGAGACUGAAUAGCUAGGGUACGGCAGAGGGAAGUGGAAUUCCGGUGUAGCGGNGAAAUGNGUAGAUAUCGGAAGGAACAUCAGNNGNGAAAGNGANUUCCUGGACCAGNACCGACGUUCAGGCACGAAAGCGUGGGGAGCAAACAG